rnacentral:rRNA from 1 species
GAUGAACGCUGGCGGCGUGCUUAACACAUGCAAGUCGAACGGAAAGGCCCAAGCUUGCUUGGGUACUCGAGUGGCGAACGGGUGAGUAACACGUGGGUGAUCUGCCCUGCACUUCGGGAUAAGCCUGGGAAACUGGGUCUAAUACCGGAUAGGACCACUUCUUGGAUGUUGUGGUGGAAAGUUUUUUCGGUGUGGGAUGAGCUCGCGGCCUAUCAGCUUGUUGGUGGGGUAAUGGCCUACCAAGGCGUCGACGGGUAGCCGGCCUGAGAGGGUGUACGGCCACAUUGGGACUGAGAUACGGCCAAGACUCCUACGGGAGGCAGCAGUGGGGAAUAUUGCACAAUGGGCGCAAGCCUGAUGCAGCGACGCCGCGUGGGGGAUGACGGCCUUCGGGUUGUAAACUCCUUUCGCUAGGGACGAAGCGUUUUGUGACGGUACCCGGAGAAGAAGCACCGGCUAACUACGUG